CUUCCCUGGAAUGGGUAGAGAGUGAAAUGGGAUGAACAACACCCUGUCUGCAACUGACAAGGUGAUGUGAAUGGCUGUUCUUAGUGCAAGCCCCAGUGGGCGCCCUUGCCCCUGUUGCUGUGUGCUCAGGAGUGCCAUGACAGUGAGAAGGAACAGAGCUGUUCCCACCUUUAUCUGGCCAGAAAUGCACAGCGUCUCCAGAGCACCCCAGAAGUUGUCUCAGCAACAUUUGAAAUAAGGUCAAGGCUUUUUAAAGAGGUGGUGCGGAGCUCCUGUUUGAUGGGGUAAAAAAGCAUCAAGUCACCUUGCCUGGGCAGGAGGAACCCUGGGAUAUCCGGAACCUCCUUGUCUGGAUCAAGACGAAUUUGCUAAAAGAGCGGCCAGAGCUAUUCAUCCAGGGAGACAGUGUGCGGCCUGGAAUCCUGGUCCUGAUUAAUGAUGCCGACUGGGAACUGCUGGGAGAGCUGGACUACCAGCUGCAGGACCAGGAUAGCAUCCUCUUCAUCUCCACCCUGCAUGGCGGCUGAGGCCUCCUCGAUUAGCCCAAGCACCUUUGCAAGGGGAACACAGGACAACCACAGACCCCUCGGAUGCUUCCAGGUCCUCCGUCCCCCUUGGCUGCCUCCUUCCCUGCUGUACCCCUGAGCUUCCUGUAUGCAGGGAAAAGAGGCCAGGUGCUAAAAAUGAGCCUUUCUGGGCAAGGCGGCACGUGAGCAGGGAGAGAGAGCAGGGAGGGAGAGCAGCCGCCUGAGCCCAGCACUCCUUCCAGCAGCUGAGGUGGGGGAGGGUGCUCCUGUGCUGUGUCAGGAGUGGAGGGGCUCUGUGCCCAGGUGACCCAGCUGCUUGCUGCUACGUCUUGGUGUAUGUAUGCUCUUAGUGGUGGCCUGGAAGGCACUCCAGUUCCCGAGACAUCUUCAUGGGGAAGAUGGAUGGACUGUAGUAACUGAUGAGAGGCUCCUCCCUUGCCAAAGAUUAGAGGGGCCUCCGCCUCAGUUUCCCCAUCUGGACACAGAGAGCUCUGCUUGUCCCCCACUGAUGUCAUUAUGGAACCCCAGCUGGGGUCCCCUAUUCAGUGCUCACCUCCCUCCCCUCCACUCAGCAGCUGCUCUCCUAGCUAUACCCCUCCUCCCGUUCCCCCAUCCCCAGCCCUUGACCCUGGCUGGCCUCCCCCCCCCCCCCCCCCCCACAUAGGCCACCAGAUGGGCUCCUGAGACACUCUCCAGGCUGCCUACAACUCAUUCUGUUGGGGGUAGAAAAUGGAAGGAAGUAGCCUAACUUUAGGCAGAGGGGGGCGGGCCUCAGCAUGUGUAACUCCAGGCUUCCUGAAACAAGCAGGAUUUGGGUGUCCCCCCUUUCCUCCAUCCCUUCUGGAACUCUGGAGACUUCAUGCCUGCAACAGCUGGCCUUGGGCAAAUAAAGAGACUAGGUUGUUUACUAGCCUUGCCUCAUCCUUCGGGUCUGUGGGCUCUUAUUUAAAUUGCCUGUCCUAAGCCAAGGGCUCAGAGGCCUUCACCUGCAAGGUAAAGCAUGCACUGUGCCAAGGAGAGGGUGGGUCAGG
ensembl:lncRNA Urm1 ubiquitin related modifier 1